rnacentral:rRNA from 1 species
GACGUAGGGCGCGAGCGUUGUCCGGAUUUAUUGGGCGUAAAGAGCGUGUAGGCGGCUCGGUAAGUCCGUUCUGAAAGUCCAGGGCUCAACCCUGGGAUGCGGAUGGAUACUGUCGGGCUUGAGUACGGGAGAGGCGAGUGGAAUUCCUGGUGUAGCGGUGAAAUGCGCAGAUAUCAGGAGGAACACCUAUGGCGAAGGCAGCUCGCUGGGUCGUUACUGACGCUGAGACGCGAAAGCGUGGGGAGCAAACAGG